rnacentral:rRNA from 1 species
UACAGAGGGUGCAAGCGUUAAUCGGAAUUACUGGGCGUAAAGCGCGCGUAGGUGGUUUUGUUAAGUUGGAUGUGAAAUCCCCGGGCUCAACCUGGGAACUGCAUUCAAAACUGACAAGCUAGAGUAUGGUAGAGGGUGGUGGAAUUUCCUGUGUAGCGGUGAAAUGCGUAGAUAUAGGAAGGAACACCAGUGGCGAAGGCGACCACCUGGACUGAUACUGACACUGAGGUGCGAAGCGUGGGGAGCAACA